UACGAAGGGGGCGAGCGUUGUUCGGAAUUACUGGGCGUAAAGGGCGCGCAGGCGGCGCGAGAAGUCAGGCGUGAAAGCCCCGGGCUCAACCUGGGAAUUGCGCUUGAUACUCUUGUGCUGGAGUUCGGGAGAGGAGAGUGGAAUUCCCAGUGUAGAGGUGAAAUUCGUAGAUAUUGGGAAGAACACCGGUGGCGAAGGCGGCUCUCUGGACCGAGACUGACGCUGAGGCGCGAAAGCGUGGGGAGCAAACAGG
rnacentral:rRNA from 1 species